rnacentral:rRNA from 1 species
GACGAACGCUGGCGGCGUGCUUAACACAUGCAAGUCGAACGGAAAGGCCCUGCUUUUGUUGGGUGCUCGAGUGGCGAACGGGUGAGUAACACGUGAGUAACCUGCCCUUGACUUUGGGAUAACUUCAGGAAACUGGGGCUAAUACCGGAUAUGAGCUCCUGCUGCAUGGUGGUGGUUGGAAAGUUUCGGCGGUUGGGGAUGGACUCGCGGCUUAUCAGCUUGUUGGUGGGGUAGUGGCUUACCAAGGCUUUGACGGGUAGCCGGCCUGAGAGGGUGACCGGCCACAAUGGGACUGAGAUAGGGAGCAGAAUCCUACGGGAGGCAGAAGUGGGGAAUAUUGCACAAUGGGCGGAAGCCUGAUGCAGAAACGCCGGGUGCGGGAUGACGGCCUUCGGGUUGUAAACCGCUUUCGCAUGUGACGAAGAGUGAGUGACGGUAAUGGGUAAAGAAGCCCCGGCUAACUACGUG